rnacentral:rRNA from 1 species
CCUACGGGAGACAGCAGUGAGGAAUAUUGGUCAAUGGACGAGAGUCUGAACCAGCCAAGUAGCGUGAAGGAUGACUGCCCUAUGGGUUGUAAACUUCUUUUAUAUGGGAAUAAAAUGUUCCACGUGUGGGAUUUUGUAUGUACCAUAUGAAUAAGGAUCAGCUAACUCCGUGCCAGCAGCCGCGGUAAUACGGAGGAUCCGAGCGUUAUCCGGAUUUAUUGGGUUUAAAGGGAGCGUAGGUGGAUUGUUAAGUCAGUUGUGAAAGUUUGCGGCUCAACCGUAAAAUUGCAGUUGAAACUGGCAGUCUUGAGUACAGUAGAGGUGGGCGGAAUUCGUGGUGUAGCGGUGAAAUGCUUAGAUAUCACGAAGAACUCCGAUUGCGAAGGCAGUUCACUGGACUGCAACUGACACUGAGGCUCGAAAGUGUGGGUAUCAAACAGGAUUAGAUACCCGUGUAGUC